UGGGGAAUAUCGCACAAUGGGCGCAAGCCUGAUGCAGCCAUGCCGCGUGUAUGAAGAAGGCCUUCGGGUUGUAAAGUACUUUCAGCGGGGAGGAAGGGAGUAAAGUUAAUACCUUUGCUCAUUGACGUUACCCGCAGAAGAAGCACCGGCUAACUCCGUGCCAGCAGCCGCGGUAAUACGGAGGGUGCAAGCGUUAAUCGGAAUUACUGGGCGUAAAGCGCACGCAGGGGGUCUGUCAAGUCGGAUGUGAAAUCCCCGGGCUCAACCUGGGAACUGCAUUCGAAACUGGCAGGCUAGAGUCUUGUAGAGGGGGGUAGAAUUCCAGGUGUAGCGGUGAAAUGCGUAGAGAUCUGGAGGAAUACCGGUGGCGAAGGCGGCCCCCUGGACAAAGACUGACGCUCAGGUGCGAAAGCGUGGGGAGCAAACAGG
rnacentral:rRNA from 1 species